rnacentral:rRNA from 1 species
GCCUACGGGGGGCAGCAGUAGGGUAUCUUCCACAAUGGGCGAAAGCCUGAUGGAGCAACGCCGCGUGGGUGAAGAAGGUCUUCGGAUCGUAAAACCCUGUUGUUAGAGAAGAAAGUGCGUGAGAGUAACUGUUCACGUUUCGACGGUAUCUAACCAGAAAGCCACGGCUAACUACGUGCCAGCAGCCGCGGUAAUACGUAGGUGGCAAGCGUUAUCCGGAUUUAUUGGGCGUAAAGGGAACGCAGGCGGUCUUUUAAGUCUGAUGUGAAAGCCUUCGGCUUAACCGGAGUAGUGCAUUGGAAACG